rnacentral:RNase_P_RNA from 1 species
CGGAGGGGGCGGGCAUCCGCCGUCCGCGUCAGCGGGGGGAGGAAAGUCCGGACUCCAGACAGGCAGCAUGCCGGGUAACGCCCGGCCGCGGUAACGCGAGGGAAAGUGCCGCAGAGAGUAGACCGCCUUCGAUAAGACCGGAGGUAAGGGUGAAAGGGUGCGGUAAGAGCGCACCGCUCUGCCGGUGACGGCAGGGGCAUGGUAAACCCCAUGCGGAGCAAGGCCAAAUAGGGGAAUCGAGGGUUGUCUGUUCCCGCACCUCAUCUGCGAUGAGGGAGGUUCCCGGGUAGGCCGCGUGAGCCGGCCGGUGACGGUCGGCCCAGAUGAAUGGACGUCGCCCUUCGGGGUACAGAAUCCGGCUUACAGCCUCCUCCGGCCC